AUUGAUAAACAUUUGAGUGAGUGGCGGACGGGUGAGUAACACGUGGGUAACCUGCCCUAAAGUGGGGGAUAACAUUUGGAAACAGAUGCUAAUACCGCAUAAAACCUAACACCGCAUGGUGUAGGGUUGAAAGAUGGUUUCGGCUAUCACUUUAGGAUGGACCCGCGGUGCAUUAGUUAGUUGGUGAGGUAAAGGCUCACCAAGACCGUGAUGCAUAGCCGACCUGAGAGGGUAAUCGGCCACACUGGGACUGAGACACGGCCCAGACUCCUACGGGAGGCAGCAGUAGGGAAUCUUCCACAAUGGACGAAAGUCUGAUGGAGCAACGCCGCGUGAGUGAAGAAGGUUUUCGGAUCGUAAAACUCUGUUGUUGGAGAAGAAUGUAUCUGAUAGUAACUGAUCAGGUAGUGACGGUAUCCAACCAGAAAGCCACGGCUAACUACGUGCCAGCAGCCGCGGUAAUACGUAGGUGGCAAGCGUUGUCCGGAUUUAUUGGGCGUAAAGCGAGCGCAGGCGGUUUCUUAAGUCUGAUGUGAAAGCCUUCGGCUCAACCGAAGAAGUGCAUCGGAAACUGGGAAACUUGAGUGCAGAAGAGGACAGUGGAACUCCAUGUGUAGCGGUGAAAUGCGUAGAUAUAUGGAAGAACACCAGUGGCGAAGGCGGCUGUCUGGUCUGUAACUGACGCUGAGGCUCGAAAGCAUGGGUAGCAAACAGGAUUAGAUACCCUGGUAGUCCAUGCCGUAAACGAUGAGUGCUAGGUGUUGGAGGGUUUCCGCCCUUCAGUGCCGCAGCUAACGCAUUAAGCACUCCGCCUGGAGAGUACGACCGCAAGGUUGAAACUCAAAGGAAUUGACGGGGGCCCGCACAAGCGGUGGAGCAUGUGGUUUAAUUCGAAGCAACGCGAAGAACCUUACCAGGUCUUGACAUCCUUUGACCACUCUAGAGAUAGAGCUUUCCCUUCGGGGACAAAGUGACAGGUGGUGCAUGGUUGUCCUCAGCUCGUGUCGUGAGAUGUUGGGUUAAGUCCCGCAACGAC
rnacentral:rRNA from 1 species